rnacentral:rRNA from 1 species
GACAGAGGGCGCAAACGUUGCUUGGAAUUACUGGGCGUAAAGCGCACGUAGGCGGCUUUGUAAGUUAGAGGUGAAAGCCCAGGGCUUAACCCUGGAAUUGCCUUUAAGACUGCAUCGCUAGAAUCGUGGAGAGGUGAGUGGAAUUCCGAGUGUAGAGGUGAAAUUCGUAGAUAUUCGGAAGAACACCAGUGGCGAAGGCGACUCACUGGACACGUAUUGACGCUGAGGUGCGAAAGCGUGGGGAGCAAACAGG